rnacentral:rRNA from 1 species
GAUGAACGCUAUCUACAGGCUUAACACAUGCAAGUCGAGGGGCAGCAUGGUCUUAGCUUGCUAAGGCCGAUGGCGACCGGCGCACGGGUGAGUAACACGUAUCCAACCUGCCGUCUACUCUUGGACAGCCUUCUGAAAGGAAGAUUAAUACAAGAUGGCAUCAUGAGUCCGCAUGUUCACAUGAUUAAAGGUAUUCCGGUAGACGAUGGGGAUGCGUUCCAUUAGAUAGUAGGCGGGGUAACGGCCCACCUAGUCUUCGAUGGAUAGGGGUUCUGAGAGGAAGGUCCCCCACAUUGGAACUGAGACACGGUCCAAACUCCUACGGGAGGCAGCAGUGAGGAAUAUUGGUCAAUGGGCGAGAGCCUGAACCAGCCAAGUAGCGUGAAGGAUGACUGCCCUAUGGGUUGUAAACUUCUUUUAUAAAGGAAUAAAGUCGGGGAAUGAAUACCCGUUUUGCAUGUACUUUAUGAAUAAAGAUUGGGUUAAUUCCGUGCCAGCAGCCGCGGUUAUACGGGAGGAUCCGAGCGUUAUCCGGAAUUAUUGGGUUUAAAGGGAGCGUAGAUGGAUGUUUAAGUCAGUUGUGAAAGUUUGCGGCUCAACCGUAAAAUUGCAGUUGAUACUGGAUAUCUUGAGUGCAGUUGAGGCAGGCGGAAUUCGUGGUGUAGCGGUGAAAUGCUUAGAUAUCACGAAGAACUCCGAUUGCGAAGGCAGCCUGCUAAGCUGCAACUGACAUUGAGGCUCGAAAGUGUGGGUAUCAAACAGGAUUAGAUACCCUGGUAGUCCACACGGUAAACGAUGAAUACUCGCUGUUUGCGAUAUACUGCAAGCGGCCAAGCGAAAGCGUUAAGUAUUCCACCUGGGGAGUACGCCGGCAACGGUGAAACUCAAAGGAAUUGACGGGGGCCCGCACAAGCGGAGGAACAUGUGGUUUAAUUCGAUGAUACGCGAGGAACCUUACCCGGGCUUAAAUUGCAGAUGAAUUACGGUGAAAGCCGUAAGCCGCAAGGCAUCUGUGAAGGUGCUGCAUGGUUGUCGUCAGCUCGUGCCGUGAGGUGUCGGCUUAAGUGCCAUAACGAGCGCAACCCUUGUUGUCAGUUACUAACAGGUUCCGCUGAGGACUCUGACAAGACUGCCAUCGUAAGAUGUGAGGAAGGUGGGGAUGACGUCAAAUCAGCACGGCCCUUACGUCCGGGGCUACACACGUGUUACAAUGGGGGGUACAGAGGGCCGCUACCACGCGAGUGGAUGCCAAUCCCCAAAACCUCUCUCAGUUCGGACUGGAGUCUGCAACCCGACUCCACGAAGCUGGAUUCGCUAGUAAUCGCGCAUCAGCCACGGCGCGGUGAAUACGUUCCCGGGCCUUGUACACACCGCCCGUCAAGCCAUGGGAGCCGGGGGUACCUGAAGUGCGUAACCGCGAGGAGCGCCCUAGGGUAAAACUGGUGACUGGGGCUAAGUCG